rnacentral:rRNA from 1 species
GACGAACGCUGGCGGCGUGCUUAACACAUGCAAGUCGAACGGAAAGGCCCUGCUUUUGUGGGGUGCUCGAGUGGCGAACGGGUGAGUAACACGUGAGUAACCUGCCCUUGACUUUGGGAUAACUUCAGGAAGCUGGGGCUAAUACCGGAUAGGAGCUCCUGCUGCAUGGUGGGGGUUGGAAAGUUUCGGCGGUUGGGGAUGGACUCGCGGCUUAUCAGCUUGUUGGUGGGGUAGUGGCUUACCAAGGCUUUGACGGGUAGCCGGCCUGAGAGGGUGACCGGCCACAUUGGGACUGAGAUACGGCCCAGACUCCUACGGGAGGCAGCAGUGGGGAAUAUUGCACAAUGGGCGGAAGCCUGAUGCAGCAACGCCGCGUGCGGGAUGACGGCCUUCGGGUUGUAAACCGCUUUCGCCUGUGACGAAGCGUGAGUGACGGUAAUAGGUAAAGAAGCACCGGCUAACUACGUG